rnacentral:rRNA from 1 species
GGGCCCGCACAAGCGGUGGAGUAUGUGGUUUAAUUCGAUGCAACGCGAAGAACCUUACCAGGGUUUGACAUCCUGCGAAUCUCUUGGAAACAGGAGAGUGCCUUCGGGAACGCAGUGACAGGUGGUGCAUGGCUGUCGUCAGCUCGUGUCGUGAGAUGUUGGGUUAAGUCCCGCAACGAGCGCAACCCACGUCUUUAGUUGCCAGCAUUUAGUUGGGCACUCUAGAGAGACCGCCGGUGAUAAACCGGAGGAAGGUGUGGAUGACGUCAAGUCAUCAUGCCCCUUACAUCCUGGGCUACACACGUACUACAAUGCUACGGACAAAGGGCAGCAAACUCGCGAGAGCUAGCAAAUCCCAUAAACCGUGGCUCAGUUCAGAUCGUAGGCUGCAACUCGCCUACGUGAAGGAGGAAUCGCUAGUAAUCGC